rnacentral:rRNA from 1 species
GAUGAACGCUGGCGGCGUGCCUAAUACAUGCAAGUCGAGCGAACGGACGAGAAGCUUGCUUCUCUGAUGUUAGCGGCGGACGGGUGAGUAACACGUGGAUAACCUACCUAUAAGACUGGGAUAAUUUCGGGAAACCGGAGCUAAUACCGGAUAAUAUUUUGAACCGCAUGGUUCAAAAGUGAAAGACGGCCUUGCUGUCACUUAUAGAUGGAUCCGCGCUGCAUUAGCUAGUUGGUAAGGUAACGGCUUACCAAGGCAACGAUGCAUAGCCGACCUGAGAGGGUGAUCGGCCACACUAGAACUGAGACACGGACCAGACUCCUACGGGAGGCAGCAGUAGGGAAUCUUCCGCAAUGGGAGAAAGCCUGACGGAGCAACGCCGCGUGAGUGAUGAAGGUCUUCGGAUCGUAAAACUCUGUUAGUAGGGAAGAACAUAUGUGUAAGUAACUGUGCACAUCUUGACGGUACCUGAUCAGAAAGCCACGGCUAACUACGUG